GUGCUUGCUUUGGCAGCACAUAUACUAAGGUUGGAGCACAGAGAAGAUUAGCAUGGCUCUUGCACGGGGAUGACAGAUGGAUCUGUGAAGUGAUGAUAUGUAUU